rnacentral:rRNA from 1 species
AUUGAACGCUGGCGGCAGGCCUAACACAUGCAAGUCGAACGAGUGGCGGACGGGUGAGUAAUGUCUGGGAAACUGCCCGAUGGAGGGGGAUAACUACUGGAAACGGUAGCUAAUACCGCAUACCAUCGGAUGUGCCCAGAUGGGAUUAGCUUGUAGGUGAGGUAACGACUCACCUAGGCGACGAUCCCUAGCUGGUCUGAGAGGCUGACCAGCCAAAGGGAACCGGAGACACGGUCCAGACGACUCAGGAGGGCAGCAGUGGGGAAGAUUGUACAAGGGGCGCAAGUCGGAUGCACCCAUGCGGCGGGGAGGAAGAAGGCUUUCGAGUUGUAAAGUACUGUCAGCGGGGAGGCGUGACCAGCAGAAGAAGCACCGGCUAACUACGUGCCAGCAGCCGCGGUAAUUC